AACGAACGCUGGCGGCAGGCUUAACACAUGCAAGUCGAGCGGGCGUAGCAAUACGUCAGCGGCAGACGGGUGAGUAACGCGUGGGAACGUACCUUUUGGUUCGGAACAACACAGGGAAACUUGUGCUAAUACCGGAUAAGCCCUUACGGGGAAAGAUUUAUCGCCGAAAGAUCGGCCCGCGUCUGAUUAGCUAGUUGGUGAGGUAACGGCUCACCAAGGCGACGAUCAGUAGCUGGUCUGAGAGGAUGAUCAGCCACAUUGGGACUGAGACACGGCCCAAACUCCUACGGGAGGCAGCAGUGGGGAAUAUUGGACAAUGGGGGCAACCCUGAUCCAGCCAUGCCGCGUGAGUGAUGAAGGCCCUAGGGUUGUAAAGCUCUUUUGUGCGGGAAGAUAAUGACGGUACCGCAAGAAU
rnacentral:rRNA from 1 species